GAUGAACGCUAGCUACAGGCUUAACACAUGCAAGUCGCGGGGCAGCAUGGGGGUUGCUUGCAAUCCCUGAUGGCGACCGGCGCACGGGUGAGUAACGCGUAUCCAACCUGCCCUUCACCACGGGAUAACCCGGCGAAAGUCGGACUAAUACCGUAUGUUGUCCAUUGACGGCCUCCGAUUUGGACGAAAGGCUUAGCGGUGGGGGAGGGGGAUGCGUCCGAUUAGCUUGACGGCGGGGGAACGGCCCACCGUGGCUACGAUCGGUAGGGGUUCUGAGAGGAAGGUCCCCCACACUGGAACUGAGACACGGUCCAGACUCCUACGGGAGGCAGCAGUGAGGAAUAUUGGUCAAUGGGCGUAAGCCUGAACCAGCCAAGUAGCGUGCAGGAUGACGGCCCUAUGGGUUGUAAACUGCUUUUAUGCGGGGAUAAAGGGACCCACGUGUGGGUUUUUGCAGGUACCGCAUGAAUAAGGACCGGCUAAUUCCGUG
rnacentral:rRNA from 1 species